UCGCAUAUGUACCGGGUGAUUCUUUUAUUGUUGAACACUCAUUAUUUCGAAAAGUAUUGACUAUUUUUGAAAUUUUAGAGUCUGAGUGAAGCGAAGAAAGUGUUGGUUUUACAAAGAUGUUUACUUCUUUUUUUAUACUGUGUACAAAAAUUCUACCAGAUAUAUUGCCCUGAAAUAUCAAGUAAAGCAUCUUUUCUGAAAGCGAAUUUUCUAGGAGGUGGUAUUUUAGGGAGGUCAUUUUAUGAUUUUCCCAUGAAAAUCGGAAAGGAACACUAUCAACCGAACUUCGCUCAGAAUCGUAUUUUCGCUAGCAAUGCCGCAAUGGUUUAUUGUUGCUUACAGGUAUGCAUU